AUGCCUGCAGUUUGUAUAUUUGCCGAUAAUUCAACAAGAUUUAGCAGACCUUAUAGUUCUUUGGAACAGCCAUAAUAUAAGAAAACAAAAUCAGGGAGAUAUAUUGUCAGGCAUACCUGAUGUUCUAUAUCAUUAUCCUGAAGUUUAUGGUACUUCAGAUUUCUGUAUUCCUGCAGAUGAGCUGACAUUAAAUUUUUUCAAUGAGCAGUGUCACCAAGAAGCAAGUCUAUUUCAUAAAAUUGAUGAAGACUUUGAGGCAGUUUUAACUGAACUUAGGGACAAUAUAAACAUCCAAGCUGCAGUUGAUUCUGUACAAAAUGCUCGGCAUUUAUUUAUAUAUCUUAAGGACAGAAUGGAGAACUUGCUAUCCUAGAGAUUUUAAAGACUUAUUUGUGUCAGUCAAAUCAUAAAGUCAUCAUUAUCCACUCUAACUAGAAGAGACAAUAUUUGUUACUGGUAUCUUAAUGAUGUGUCAGGUGACAAAAUCUUUGAAGACUAAACUUUUCAGAAUCAACAUAAACUUGUAUGAGAAUUUGUGAUAACUACAAACAUUGAAACUGAUUUUUGUGUGUGUUUAGAUGUUGAGAUGCUAUGAAUGUAAAUGUAUAAGCAUGAAUUAAAUCACAAUUAUUAAUGAUAUAUAUUGUUUUACCAUGUUGAUACAUAGCUGUUAAUUGUGUGAAAUUAUAUUUCAUUUGUAAUAUAUCAAUUUACCUGUCACUUGGUUGAUUGGCCAGUAGAUAAUUGUCUCAUCUGAGAUUAACAAUAUGAGGAUUACCGUCAACAAAUUACAUUCAAUUUUGGCAAACAUUUCAAUAUAGACUGUUUUCUAUUCUGUGCAACUGGGCAACUUGAAUCUUUGAUUUAUGUUUUGGAUCAAAUUAAAUUUUAGUCUAUUUCUGUCGGAGAACCUGACACAAUAAAGGUUAAUGAAAUAUAUAAAAUGAUCUAUAGUUGCAAAUAGUUCAACUGCUUUUAAGAUGGUAUGGGUGUCUUCUUCCAUCUUAAAAUGGGACUAUACUUUAAUUAAGUCAGCAAAUUCUGAUGCAGGAAUGCAACUUAGAAACAAUGAUUUUCAUUUGAAGGAAAGAAUAUAUUUGGCCUUGAUUACAUUAUUUUUAAAAAGUUUUGCUUGAUUUCAAUUUUCUAUAAAUUUGCAUGUUAUAAGGGGAGGUAACUCAGAAAAUGUAUAAUUUAGAAAGUAAUCUUCUGGAAAGUUUUCUAUUUUAUUUUAUGUUAUUGUAAAAAAAAUGUAUGAUGACCACGUUUUGUCUUUUUAUAUUCUGAAAGCAUUUUAUAAGAGACAUAUUACUGACAUUGGAUUAGAUAUACUAGUAGUAACCAUGGACUUUUUAAACUAGU